ensembl:lncRNA
GGGUCUGGGUUAAGGGAUAGGUUAGGGUCUGGGUUAAGGGAUAGGUUAGGGUCUGGGUUAAGGGAUAUGUUAGGGUCUGGGUUAAGGGAUAGGUUAGGGUCUGGUUUAAUGGAUAUGUUAGGGUCUGGGUUAAGGGAUAGGUUAGGGUCUGGGUUAAGGGAUAGGUUAGGGUCUGGGUUAAGGGAUAGGUUAGGGUCUGGGUUAAGGGAUAGGUUAGGUUCUGGGUUAAGGGAUAGGUAAGGGUCUGGGUUAAGGGAUAGGUUAGGGUCUGGGUUAAGGGAUAGGUUAGGGUCUGGGUUAAGGGUUGG